GGGCAGCGGUCAGGGGCAUCUCCCCGCCACUCCCUGCAAGUGGAUUUGGAUGCUCGGGUUCUGCUAUGUGACUGACUUAGCCCUCCCAGCUUUUGUCUCUUCUUCGUAGCCAGAGCCAGAAGCUCCCUCUCUCUGCUUCUUUGGAGAGGUCUUUCUGGGCUUUUCUGAUUCCGAGAAGCCGAUGAUGUAUUUUAGGAAGCGCUUGGUUGAAAGCCCCACAAAUCCACGGCAGCCAACCUCCACUGGCCUGUGUUUACAUCACUGAGUCGUUGCUGUGGUAACAGGCCAAACCUCACAAUCAGCGGUGGCUACAAAGUGCAGAGAUCUUUUUUUUUCCUAUUGCUCACGUCAUAAAAGGUGCUUCUGAAACUCAACCGGCAGGUAAACAAGCUCCCACUGCCUGAUAUCAUGCAAACAACAUAAAAUAUCCCAAAGGAGACGUGAGAUCACCCACGCUGGGAUGCUGCCAGACAAAUUUCCAACAGCUCAUCGACCCUCGUCAACACAAGUCUACUUAUAGAAUGUCGACUUUAGACAGUGGUGGAAUGCACUCUGUCUACAACACCUUUCCUUUUCACAAUGUAUAUUUUUCAUGUCUUAAGAGUAAAUUACACUACAAUGAACCCUGAAGCCAAGUAUAUAGUUUUUUGAAAAAUACAUUUUUGCACAAGAACAUUAAGGGCAAAAUGGGCUGAGUGUUGUUGCUUUCCUGGUAUCAUCAAUUAUAGCAUCCAACUACUUUUUCUGAUGGCAUCCCCUACACUGCUGCGACGUAUUAGUUUUUCCAAAACCAGCUGUCAGGUUUCCCAAACUGGUAGUUUUAUUAUAUAAAUCUCUAUUGCUGCAUACAUUUAUUAUUGUCACAGG